AUCAAGAUGUAUUUAAAGAUUUAUCGGUGAAAGAUGAGCAUGCGUCCCAUUAGCUAGUUGGUAUGGUAACGGCAUACCAAGGCUACGAUGGGUAGGGGUCCUGAGAGGGAGAUCCCCCACACUGGUACUGAGACACGGACCAGACUCCUACGGGAGGCAGCAGUGAGGAAUAUUGGACAAUGGGCGCAAGCCUGAUCCAGCCAUGCCGCGUGCAGGAUGACGGUCCUAUGGAUUGUAAACUGCUUUUAUACAGGAAGAAACAACGCUACGUGUAGCGUCUUGACGGUACUGUAAGAAUAAGGAUCGGCUAACUCCGUGCCAGCAGCCGCGGUAAUACGGAGGAUCCAAGCGUUAUCCGGAAUCAUUGGGUUUAAAGGGUCCGUAGGCGGUCAGAUAAGUCAGUGGUGAAAGCCCAUCGCUCAACGGUGGAACGGCCAUUGAUACUGUCUGACUUGAAUUAUUAGGAAGUAACUAGAAUAUGUAGUGUAGCGGUGAAAUGCUUAGAGAUUACAUGGAAUACCAAUUGCGAAGGCAGGUUACUACUAAUAUAUUGACGCUGAUGGACGAAAGCGUGGGUAGCGAACAGGAUUAGAUACCCUGGUAGUCCACGCCGUAAACGAUGGAUACUAGCUGUUGGGAGCAAUCUCAGUGGCUAAGCGAAAGUGAUAAGUAUCCCACCUGGGGAGUACGAACGCAAGUUUGAAACUCAAAGGAAUUGACGGGGGCCCGCACAAGCGGUGGAGCAUGUGGUUUAAUUCGAUGAUACGCGAGGAACCUUACCAAGGCUUAAAUGUAGUUUGACCGGUUUGGAAACAGAUCUUUCGCAAGACAAAUUACAAGGUGCUGCAUGGUUGUCGUCAGCUCGUGCCGUGAGGUGUCAGGUUAAGUCCUAUAACGAGCGCAACCCCUGUUGUUAGUUGCCAGCGAGUCAUGUCGGGAACUCUAACGAGACUGCCAGUGCAAACUGUGAGGAAGGUGGGGAUGACGUCAAAUCAUCACGGCCCUUACGCCUUGGGCUACACACGUGCUACAAUGGCCGGUACAGAGAGCAGCCACUGGGUGACCAGGAGCGAAUCUACAAAACCGGUCACAGUUCGGAUCGGAGUCUGC
rnacentral:rRNA from 1 species